rnacentral:lncRNA from 1 species
GUUUAAGGGUCCUGAGGACACAGGUUCUUGAAUCACUUGGUGUCACAGGUCAUCAUCCUUAGGAAAAUAAGUGUGAUCAAUGUGAGCCCUCCGGAAGAAAGACUUCACCUGCACAAGGACACAGCUGGUGCUAACAGCCCCCAGAGCACUAUUGGAUGAGCCCUGGCCAGCUGUGGUUAAUUACUCCCACGUGGUGCUCGCUGUGGCUAUUAGGGAUGUUACACAGUGGUGUCUUAUUUGUCUUUCAGUUCCUCCUUGCAGAGGCAGAGAGAGGGUAGAUCUGUAGGAAGGUAAAAUAAAGGGAGAUUUCUGCUCUCACCUCUUCUUUCAGUAAGCAGAAAAAAACUUUAGCAGAGCAGCUAUUCUCUGCUCCUCCUUGAAGAAGAGAAGCUUUCUUAUUAAGCUUGUCCACACAACAGUAAAGCCUGAAUUUGACAUCUUCUUCUUAGGCUGCCAACAUCAAAGAGCAAAAGAGCACAGGUUUUGACUGUAGAAUGUAACAGCAACCUUCCCUCCAGUUAAAUCAGAGGAAACCAUAGCUGAAGAGAGCUUGGAUAAAACCGAGAUAUUUUUAUGUUAUCUAUAAGAAGUUUACAGAGAAAUACAAUUAUUGGUCUCCUCUGUCAAUAACUGGGCAUGCUGACUCCAUAGUGCCCUAGGUUACACUUCUGGUUCUUCACUGUUCAAAAGCCAAAAUCAAUUUCCCCAUGAAAUUUUGAAAACGAAAAUACAAAUUUAAGGAGACUUCUUGGACCUCAUGUUUUCUUUGCCAUGACAGAUACAGGGCUGAAAACAAAGACAUCCAAACCUUGAGCUAAACAGAAGAGGAAGAAGCCAAAAUCUUUGCCAGAGGUUUGACUGCUGGGUUUACUCAUGGCUUCAGCUGUCACCUUCAGAAAUAUGAGACCUCUCAGAUCAGGCCAUUAAUCCUGCUUCUCCCAGUGGAGUGUGACUCGUCUGGUGGGACAGGUUUGAUUGCAACUGGUUCUUCAGGCUGUCAUGACUGUGAAAGCAGACUUCAGCUGCACAUGCAGAUACCUCGGAUCCUGCUACUGCCUAAACCUAUUGAUCUGUUAUUGAGCUCGGCACCAACCGCUGGUUUAGCUCUAAAGAAGUUCAGCCUCUGCAGGCAGCUGGGAAGCAAGGCGGACUCAGAAAAGAAGUGGAUGCUCCAUCUCAUCAUAGAAUAACAGAAUAUUCCAAGUUGAAAGGGACCCAUAAGUAUCUAUCAUCAAGUCCAACUCCAGGCAUCACACAGCACCGCCCAAAAAUAAUGACCUAGCCUAUUCAAAGGAGAGAAUUCCUGCAGGAGAAAAACAAGCCAAAACAAACAAAAAAUCCCAACAAACUCACACCUGGAAAAUGCUGCUCCAUAUAGCCCCAACUGUCUUGUCCUGCUUCUAAGAGGUGUCAUGUGGCUGUUACAGAGACGUGCCCGAAAAUGGUGUUAUUAAGAGGACCAGGUGUUUGUUCAGGAGGCUGUGGGAUGCAGCCAUUCCUUGGGCACUACAGAUAUAUUUACAGCAUUAAAAGGUCAAACAAUCCCUUCAUUCCCUGUUUGCUUCAGAGAGUUUUGUUGAACAUUCUCAUUAUUCGUUGCGGUAUUUCUUUGGUUUAAGAGGAUUUCUCUGCACAACCAUAGUUAUUAGAAUGCAGUGUGUGUGCAGUGAAUGUGUUAUUACUAUAACAAGCUUCUCCUCAUAGUAGAUAUUUAUUCUGAGUGUGAGGCUUUUAGUUCAGUUGUGUGUGUGGCAGAGCAGGCGAGAUGGGGCAGGUAAUGUGGAAAAAAAGAUGGAGUAGAAUGGGGAAAGACACAAAAUUAGUAGUUUGGAGACAUGACUUCUGCCCCUAUCUUUGUGAUGGGCUCUGUGCCGACUCUUGCCUUCCCUUUCACAAAAAGGUCAGGAAAAUGAGAAGCACUGUACAACAGGCUGGGGACUCUUAG